AGUCUUUAUAAUAGUUAAUAUUAAUUUUAGUUUCGACCUAAAAAAAGCAUGUUUUAUGCAUUAACUA
rnacentral:tRNA from 1 species